UCUGGUGACGCUAGCUAUGUGGUUCCACCUGUUCCCAUACCGAACACAGUAGUUAAGCACAUAUACGCCGAAAGUACUUGUCUGGAGACGGACUGGGAGGAUAGGGAGUUGCCAGUUA
rnacentral:rRNA from 1 species